rnacentral:rRNA from 1 species
AUUGAACGCUGGCGGCAGGCCUAACACAUGCAAGUCGAACGAGUGGCGGACGGGUGAGUAAUGUCUGGGAAACUGCCUGAUGGAGGGGGAUAACUACUGGAAACGGUAGCUAAUACCGCAUACCAUCGGAUGUGCCCAGAUGGGAUUCGCUAGUAGGUGGGGUAAAGGCUCACCUAGGCGACGAUCCCUAGCUGGUCGGAUAGGAUGACCAGCCACACGGGAACGGGGACACGGUCCAGACGCCUACGGGAGGCAGCAGUGGGGAAUAUGGCACAAUGGGCGCAAGCCGGAUGCAGCCAGGCCGCGUGUGUGAAGAAGGCCUUCGGUUUGGAAAGCACUUUCAGCGAGGAGGCGUUAGUCGCAGAAGAAGCACCGGCUAACUCCGUGCCAGCAGCCGCGGUAAUAC